rnacentral:lncRNA from 1 species
CUGGAGCUGGACACUUAGAAUAUGGCUCCCGUGGUUUAUUUAAGGGGGUAUAUUAAAGGCAGGGGUAAGGUCUCAGGGGUGGAGUCUUGUUUCAUUUUGUCUUGCAGUCAGCAGGUUGAUUGGCAUCUUGGCAGGUCACACCCAUCUCUGAGAGGCUGUUAGACUGUAGCAGGUCACCCAAUCUCCUCUGUUGUGUGGGACCUGGGGCAGAGCAGAAUAGGGCUCACAAAGUGUUUGGGUGGUCUUGGCUAGAGGAAAUUUCCACUGGAAGGUCCCAGAAACCAGAUUCUCCUAUUCACUGGCUGUGAUGCCAAUGUAGUCCACACACAGCCCACAGAUGGCUCUCGACAACCAACUCACUCCAUUCUUCAAGGCUCUAAUAUAGGAAGAACAUCAUGGAAGAAGGGCGUGACUGAGAAAAGUAGCUGGGGACAUCACCAGGAAGCAGAACAAGAGAGAGGGAAUGUUCCUCACUAGAGACAAAAUAUAAACCCCAAAGUCACUCCCCAGUCACUCACCUCUUCCACUCACACCAUCCAGUUAAUCCCUGUCAAGGAAUUCAUGCACUGAUUGGGUCAAGGCUCUCACAACCCAAUCAUUUCACCUCUAAACAUUCCUUCAUUGUCUCACACAUGAGCUUUUGGGAGACACCUGACACCCAAACCAUAACAACUCUACUGGAGUGUUUCAAAGGAAGGCGCACAUUCAUUCCAUAAUUCUUGAAAGCACACAUUGCAUAGUUCCUAUAGCCUUAUGGAUCACAUGUGCUAAAGGCAGAAAGAAUACCACAAAGAGAAAACCUAACAUUUAAGUUUGAAAGGUGAAUACAUAAACUCUUGGAACUCAGUGGAAAACCUUCCUGAGAAAUCAUUCAUUCUAAUCCUCCGGUCCAAUGCUAGGGUGCUGCUUGGCCUCAGGAUUUGGAAUACCUCCAGUUUUUUACCCACAGUUGAAUUAAUCUAUACUUUCUAUUUUAAGAUCUACAUGGAUUCUCCUUGCAGACAAGAGUUUGAUGAAGGUAGAGGCAAAUAGGCAAAAAUUAAAGAUAAGUAUAGAUCUGAAAUUCAUUUACUGUGAAAAUAAUGAAAUCUAAUCUAUCCAUACAUUUGAACAAAUUUUGCAAAAAAUAAGAAUUUAAUUUUCAAUAAACAUUGUUUU